rnacentral:rRNA from 1 species
CGGAAGGUCCGAGCGUUAUCCGGAUUUAUUGGGUUUAAAGGGAGCGCAGGCGGGGCUGUAAGCCAGCCGUGAAAUGUCGGGGCUCAACCCCGGCCCGCGGUUGGAACUGUGGCCCUUGAGUGCGGGAAGGGAGAGCGGAACUCGUGGUGUAGCGGUGAAAUGCAUAGAUAUCACGAAGAACUCCGAUCGCGAAGGCAGCCCUCCGGCCCGUCACUGACGCUCAUGCUCGAAGGCGCGGUAUCAAACAGGAUU